UGCACCAGAAGUAGCUAGUCUAACCUUCGGGAGGACGGUUACCACGGUGUGAUUCAUGACUGGGGUGAAGUCGUAACAAGGUAGCCGUAGGGGAACCUGCGGCUGGAUCACCUCCUUAAU
rnacentral:rRNA from 1 species